CUAUAUAGUGUUACCAAUGGUGUGUUUGGUGACAGUGGUCCCAACUGCCUUGAGAUCAUUCACAAGCUCCUCCCCCUCAUCCAGUCAU